GCCUCCUUAGCUCAGUGGUAGAGCGCAUCACUAGUAAUGAUGAGGUCGCGAGUUCAAUUCUCUCAGGAGGCA